AACACAGAGAGUCAGGGCCAGCCAAAUGGAAAUUGUCUGCUCAUAGGAGAAGCCCUGGGGCCAUACUCUGAAAGAGGUAGCUUGGCGACAGACAAAUUUUCUAAGAGAGACAGUAUGGGGAGAAGAGAAGGCAAAGGUCCAAGACUCAAAAAAUGAAUGAAUGUUAAAACAUCAGAAGAGCAAGAUAAACGAGUUAAGAAGAUGGCACAGGAGCCGCAGAGAGGUGGAAGAUGGCUUGGAAGAGUGAAAACAGUUUUGCUGAGGACAGGUAAGAAGAGAUGAGGUGGGGAUGGUCCAUGAAGAUGAAUGACUGCUUCCCAAGACACUGUGGGGAGAAGGCUAUGGAAAGAUGGCAGCAGCAGACUGUGGAGAGAAGUCAAUUCACUGUGAGUGGUCAGACAAUACCUGAACCAACAAGACACAUGGGACAACCUCUUGGGAACAGAAAGUUCAGAAAAGGGCUAAGAAAUAGGAUGGAGAUAGGGAUACUCAACGAUCUAGUCAUAGGAUCAAAAUGGGAAUGCAAUUAGGAAGUAGAAGGCCUGAGAUAGACAGCAGCCGCUGGGAUUGGAAGCAAUUUUAGGAUGAUUUCCCAAAGGGUAGAGAUGUUCCAACAAUAGCUUGAUGAUAAAUUUUGUAUUUUAUCAGA
rnacentral:lncRNA from 1 species